GUGUCCGGAAUCGGCUGUCAGCCUCCCUGGCUGUUAGUACCUUCUUUCCCGGAGUCCUGGUCCACGAGUUGGAUUUACUGCUGUCGCGGGUGGGCCUCACGCCAUUCCCUGUCCCUCGGCCCCCUGAGUGAGUCCGGUCUCCCGGCGAAAGUGAGCGAGGUUUGCCCGGAGCGCGCACGAGGGGAAAAUGCCUAAAAAAAAGACUGGUGCGAGGAAGAAGGCUGAGAACCGCCGAGAACGUGAAAAACAACUAAGAGCAUCAAGAAGCACUAUAGAUUUAGCUAAACAUCCAUGUAAUGCCUCAAUGGACUAAGAGGUGAUAAAGUUGGCUGUGUGUGGAAGGGGUACACUUCACAGAAGAGGUGGGAUUUUCACCAGAACUUUCAACAGGUAGGAGGCACUUUUCAGGGAAAAGUGUUCGAAUAAGUAAAGACAUGGAGAAGAGAGAAUAUAAGACAUAUUUGGAGAAUGGCUGACCAUUAGUGACUUGAGUCUAAAAAGAAUAGGCCAAGAAGGUUUGGAAAGUGAUUAGGGGCCAGAUUGUGGAGAGCUUUUAAA
rnacentral:lncRNA from 1 species